UAACACAUGCAAGUCGAACGAUGACUCUCUAGCUUGCUAGAGAAGAUUAGUGGCGGACGGGUGAGUAACAUUUAGGAAUCUGCCUAGUAGUGGGGGAUAGCUCGGGGAAACUCGAAUUAAUACCGCAUACGACCUACGGGUGAAAGGGGGCGCAAGCUCUUGCUAUUAGAUGAGCCUAAAUCAGAUUAGCUAGUUGGUGGGGUAAAGGCCCACCAAGGCGACGAUCUGUAACUGGUCUGAGAGGAUGAUCAGUCACACCGGAACUGAGACACGGUCCGGACUCCUACGGGAGGCAGCAGUGGGGAAUAUUGGACAAUGGGGGCAACCCUGAUCCAUCCAUGCCGCGUGUGUGAAGAAGGCCUUUU
rnacentral:rRNA from 1 species